AAAAAGGGCCGGUUGGCUAAAUAUGCCACGUCCGCCUUUGGGGCGGUGCUGUAUGGACUAUCAAGACAUAUGGCCGGCAAAAUUUGUGGAACUCCAUAGGGUCGGCCCGCUCGGCCGACCCUUAC
rfam:Picea glauca, whole genome shotgun sequence.